rnacentral:lncRNA from 1 species
UUACUGGGGAACUCAUCUCCAUUAUUAUUCAUAAAUUUCCAAUAAAAACCAUGUAAAAUUCUGUCUUCGAGUGAAAGUAUAACUUUUCUUUGUGUUCUCUAUUGUCGAAAAACCUAUGAUUUAUGGGAGUGACGAUGAAGCAGUCCAUAAUUCAUCAAUUUGGUCGUUGAGAAACAGUGUUUCUUCUAUUAGAAGUCUACAGUCGAAGCAAGUGUAGUAAAGCAAAUUCGCAGCACCCAGGAGAAGGGCGUGGCCCUAGCUUUUACACCAUCUGUUUUGGCCCAGAGGAUAUAAUGCCCCCAGAAAGUAAAUCAAGUAAAUGGUAAAUAGCAGCUCCUCAAGACCCAUGGGUUCGACGAACAUUUAGACAACUCCGGAGGCAACAACCGAUCCACCAGUACAUCAGACCAGUACAUCAAAACCUGACGCCUCCCGAAGAAGAUCAUGAGGUGUGGAUAACCUAGGACAGCACCGGAAGAAGCCUUCACACCACAAGUUAAGUCUUCCUUAGAAUCUUAUAUUUUCCUGUCAGCAGAGACAGUUUUUUUAUAUAAAUUAACUUCAUAAUAACUUCACAAUGAUGUAGAUCCUAAAUUAUAACCAAAGAAAUGAGAAAAUAAAGCAUUUAUACCGAAA